rnacentral:rRNA from 1 species
UAGGGAAUCUUCCACAAUGGGCGCAAGCCUGAUGGAGCAACACCGCGUGAGUGAAGAAGGGUUUCGGCUCGUAAAGCUCUGUUGUUGGAGAAGAACGUGCGUGAGAGUAACUGUUCACGCAGUGACGGUAUCCAACCAGAAAGUCACGGCUAACUACGUGCC